CCAACAUGGAAACCCCAGCAGGCCACUCUCCCAGGCUCUAUCCUAGUGGAAUAAGGGAGCAAAGACUCUGUCCCUUUACAGUCCCUUUCCACAAAGCUGGAGAUGAGGCUGGGCUUCAAGUCAGCUCCUGCACGUUCCUAUGACUUCUGAGUGCUGUGCAUGAUGACCGAAGAGACAAACCAUGCAGGAAACAAUU
ensembl:snoRNA Gm24533 small nucleolar RNA SNORA73 family